AACGAACGCUGGCGGCAUGCCUAACACAUGCAAGUCGAACGAGAUCUUCGGGUCUAGUGGCGCACGGGUGCGUAACGCGUGGGAAUCUGCCCUUUGGUUCGGAAUAACAGUUGGAAACGACUGCUAAUACCGGAUGAUGACGAAAGUCCAAAGAUUUAUCGCCAGAGGAUGAGCCCGCGUAGGAUUAGCUAGUUGGGGUGGUAAAGGCGCACAAAGGCGACGAUCCUUAGCUGGUCUGAGAGGAUGAUCAGCCACACUGGGACUGAGACACGGCCCAGACUCCUACGGGAGGCAGCAGUGGGGAAUAUUGGACAAUGGGCGAAAGCCUGAUCCAGCAAUGCCGCGUGAGUGAUGAAGGCCUUAGGGUUGUAAAGCUCUUUUACCCGGGAUGAUAAUGACAGUACCGGGAGAAUAAGCUCCGGCUAACUCCGUGCCAGCCGCCGCGGUAA
rnacentral:rRNA from 1 species